GAUGAAGAACGUAGCGUAAUGCGAUAAGUAAUGUGAAUUGCAGAAUUCAGUGAAUCAUCGAAUCUUUGAACGCACAUUGCGCCCGCCAGUAUUCUGGCGGGCAUGCCUGUUCGAGCGUCAUUACAACCCUCAGGCCCCCGGGCCUGGCGUUGGGGAUCGGCGGAAGCCCCCUGCGGGCACAACGCCGUCCCCCAAAUACAGUGGCGGUCCCGCCGCAGCUUCCAUUGCGUAGUAGCUAACACCUCGCAACUGGAGAGCGGCGCGGCCACGCCGUAAAACACCCAACUUCUGAAUGUUGACCUCGAAUCAGGUAGGAAUACCCGCUGAACUUAAGCAUAUCAAUAAGCGGAGGA
rnacentral:misc_RNA from 1 species